rnacentral:rRNA from 1 species
UACGUAGGGGGCAAGCGUUGUCCGGAUUUAUUGGGCGUAAAGAGCGUGUAGGCGGCCAGAUAGGUCCGUUGUGAAAACUCGAGGCUCAACCUCGAGACGCCGAUGGAAACCCCCCAGCUAGAGUCCGGAAGAGGAGAGUGGAAUUCCUGGUGUAGCGGUGAAAUGCGCAGAUAUCAGGAAGAACACCCGUGGCUAAGGCGGCUCUCUAGUACGGUACUGACGCUGAGACGCGAAAGCGUGGGGAGCGAACAGG